rnacentral:sRNA from 1 species
CUCGGCGGGCGGCCCCUCCCUGGGGCCGCUGCCUCCCUCGGGGGGUGCCCGCCGGCGUACCAAAACUCUUUUGUAUUUUAGUGGCCUCUCUGAGAAAACAAGCAAAUAAGUUAAAACUUUCAACAACGGAUCUCUUGGUUCUGGCAUCGAUGAAGAACGCAGCGAAAUGCGAUAAGUAAUGUGAAUUGCAGAAUUCAGUGAAUCAUCGAAUCUUUGAACGCACAUUGCGCCCGCCAGUACUCUGGCGGGCAUGCCUGUUCGAGCGUCAUUUCAACCCUCAAGCCCUGCUUGGUGUUGGGGUCCUACGGCUGCCGUAGGCCCUGAAAGCUAGUGGCGGGCUCGCUAUAACUCCGAGCGUAGUAGUAAAAUAUCUCGCUAGGGAGGUGUCGCGGGUUCCGGCCGUGAAAGCCCCGGCGAGUGAAGCGGCAACAGCUCAAAUUUGAAAUCUGGCUUCGGCCCGAGUUGUAAUUUGUAGAGGAUGCUUUUGGUGAGGUGCCUUCUGAGUUCCCUGGAACGGGACGCCAGAGAGGGUGAGAGCCCCGUAUAGUUGGACACCGAGCCUCUGUAAAGCUCCUUCGACGAGUCGAGUAGUUUGGGAAUGCUGCUCAAAAUGGGAGGUAUAUCUCUUCUAAAGCUAAAUACUGGCCAGAGACCGAUAGCGCACAAGUAGAGUGAUCGAAAGAUGAAAAGCACUUUGAAAAGAGGGUUAAAUAGUACGUGAAAUUGUUGAAAGGGAAGCGCUUGUGACCAGACUUGUGCCCGGCUGAUCAUCCAGUGUUCUCACUGGUGCACUCUGCCGGGCUCAGGCCAGCGUCGGUUCUCGCAGGGGGACAAAAGCUUCGGGAACGUAGCUCCUCCGGGAGUGUUAUAGCCCGUUGCUCAAUACCCCUGCGGGGACCGAGGUUCGCGCUCUGCAAGGACGCUGGCAUAAUGGUCAUCAGCGGCCCGUCUUGAAACACGGACCAAGGAGUCGAGGUUUUGCGCGAGUGUUUGGGUGUAAAACCCGCACGCGUAAUGAAAGUGAACGUANGUGAGAGCUUCGGCGCAUCAUCGACCGAUCCUGAUGUAUUCGGAUGGAUUUGAGUAAGAGCGUA